rnacentral:misc_RNA from 1 species
AUAAAUUUGGUAAUUCCACAUAUUAUUUGAAAAUCUCACAACUAUCAAAACCUUUAGUCUCGCUCUCUUCUCUCUCUAACAUUCUUCAGAGAGGGAGACUUUAUCCUUAUUCUGCCGUUCGGACGUGGUCCGAUAUCGCCGUUAGUUUAGCCGUGACACGGCUUUCCGUUGCCGCGUUCUUUGUCGUCCGGUUUCAUGCCGGCUUAUGUACCAAAUCUCCGCGAUGGUCAGCUCUCGUCUAGCACCGCUUAGCUUCUUCAGCAACGGUGGCUAGCUCUUGCCCGGCACGACCGGCUAUUCUAGCGGUCAUGGCCGGUUUAUGUUCUUCUUUAAUUUCUGAAUUUUGUUUUAGUUUUGCUAAUAAUCUCAUCGGAUUUAUGUUGGGGGUAAUAAUCUGUCAUAUCCUCGAUGGUUCUUUUCCCUCUCUAUCCUUUGAGUUUUCAAGAUGGGUUUCGCCGGAUCGUUUUUUGAACUUAGGAUUUACAUAAUGGUUUCAAAGAAAUUUUUCUCUUUUGUUGAAGGAUUGAAGAUUCUUCCGUCGUUUAUCACGAUUCCUUAAGCCGUUAUCUUUAAUUUGGAGCUUUGAUGUUUUCAUUCUGGUGCAAAACACAAGAAUCAUCUCACCGGAAUCAGCUCAACGGCGAAGGUUGUUGCCGGAAAACUUUUGAUUAUUCAUCCAGCGUGUGACGUGGUAUAUCCCGGUUGUCGACAUGUGUUCAUGGAUGGAGUUCCGAUAGAAUUUCUUCUGCAGAAGGUUAUCUAAUGGGCCUUUUUUGGGCUUUAUGUAAUUCCAAAGUUGGAGCUUUUGUUUAAGCUCUUGUAUGAUAUGAUGAUGUUUAAUAAAACUUAUGAGAC